CGGUUUCAUCUUACCCGGCCACUGUAUCUUAUGAUCCUAACACAGUUGCAGAGCAACUAAAGGCUACGGAAGACUUAGUUUCAUUGUAUUUGACGCCUGAGGACGAUUUCACACAGCCACCCCCAUGGAGCAGAAACGGAUGUCUACACAAGCCUAAGAAGGGAUCUAAGAAGAGAUCUAUUGAGCCUGAGCCAUACCAGAAAGGCUUCCCGCCCAAAAGACGCAACCAUUCCUUUGUUCCGGUCUCAUCUUACCCGGCCACUGUAUCUUAUGAUCCUAACACAGUUGCAGAGCAAGUAACGACGACCGAAGACUUAGAGUCCUUGCAUUUGUUGUCGUCUAAGUGUGAUUUCACACAUAGUACACCAAAGCCCUACCACCC